UUCAAUUAUUGAGUCCCAAGCGCAGACUUUGCACUUGUCCUUGUUGAAUUUCAUCUGAUAAAGAAGCACUCCGCUUCCUGGAAAGGUUCUUGCUCAGUCACGUGGCUGAAUGCUGUGUUACGAAAGUGACCCUAAGGAACCAUCUGUCCUUCUAAUGAAAUCGAAAGCGUCAUCUGACAACCGAGUCAAAGCUGCGUGUCUAGCGAAGGAUUUCUACCCCAAGAACGUUACGUUCCACUUUGGCGUUUCCCAUAAAGUUGUAUAUGAACAAAAGGAUCCUGUUCUCUCUGCUAAUGGGAAAUACAGUGCAAUCAAAGUGGUUGAGUUCAACGAAAAUGAUACGGUGGACUGCUCUGUUCUACACACUGAGAAGACCUUUACUGCAAAGUCGUCACAGACAGCUGGAAGUGUGCCCAUGCCCACAACAACGACAAAAUUGUGUGAUGUUUCAAACGCCACUGCUGAAGAAAACCCAGAGACAGUGAACAUGCUGCCCCUGACUGUGCUGGGCCUGAGAUUCCUGUUUGCAAAAAGCAUCGCCUUCAACACACUCAUGACGAUCAAGCUGUUUGUUUUCUGAAGUAGAUCGCAAGGAGGGAAAUGGAAGUGGCCUGAAGACAGAAGAGAAGAGGGAGAACAUCAGCAGGGGCAGGAGGGGGCAUCUCCCUGCUGGUGUAAGUUGGACUUGCUCCAUCCUCCAAUCAAGGGGGCCAGAUUCCAAGUUGGGAUCAACUGAGGGUUGGUCUGUGGGUGUCAGUGAGCCUGUUCCACUCAAUCCUGCCUGGAGUGAUCUCCCUCCUAUAUUCUUACAUGUGUUUUAUAUGAUUAUGCAUCUCUUUUUGUUUACCUUGACUUUCAUCAUUAUUCCUGUGUUACCCUUGAUUUCUCCUGUGCUACAAAAUUACAUAGAGCUCACCUUUACUUGUUGCUAAGAUAGGAAUAUUUAGAGGGACUGUUUGUUCUUCUUCCCUCAUAUUACAUCCAAACAUGUGCACCCCUUGGCCACCUUUGAGAUUCUCAGCUUGCUUUUUUAAAAAUGAUAUAUAUGUAUUCAAGAUAUUUUACUGUUUACAAAAGGUAGGCACAGGCAAAGCAUUUCCAUUACUUGAGCUUAUAAAUUAAAGGCAGGUCUUCAGAUGGUGCCAAAAGCAAACAACUCCAUUAGCUUCUGUAGAGCCGUGCUGAUUCACAGCAGCUGAGCACUUAGAGGUCAAUUUACUUAUAUAAAUACUGGCAGUUUAGCCAUGAAGCUCUGUGCAUUCACUUAACUAAGUUCAAUCUGAUGCCCAAAUGUUUGCAGGUAUUGCUGAAAUAAAGGUUAUCGU